ACUCUAUGCUGAGAUCUGAUAGCAAGCUGUACUUGUACAGCGAAGUGGUUGAUGCCAUGCUUCCAGGAAAAGUCUCUAAGCUUCAGUUACACAGGAAUCGUACCCGAAACCGACACAGGUGGUCAGGUCGAGUAGACCAAGGCGCUUGAGAGAACUCUGCUGAAGGAACUAGGCAAAAUGGUACCGUAACUUCGGGAGAAGGUACGCUGUUGUUGGU
rnacentral:rRNA from 1 species